GACGAACGCUGGCGGCGUGCUUAACACAUGCAAGUCGAGCGGAGCGGCGAACGGGUGAGUAACGCGUGAGUAACUGCCCCCCUCUCUGGGAUAACAGUUGGAAACGGCUGCUAAUACCGGAUCGUGGGGGAUGACUCGCGUCCUAUCAGCUUGUUGGGGGGGGGGUGGCCUACCAAGGCGACGACGGGUAGCCGACCUUGGAGGGGGACCGGCCACAUUGGGCUGAGAUACGGCCCAAACUCCAACGGGAGGCAGCAGUGGGGAAUAUUGCACAAGGGGGGAAACCCUGAUGCAGAAGCGCCGCGUGCGGGAUGACGGCCUUCGGGUUGUAAACCGCUUUCAGCCAUGACGCGGUAGUGGCAGAAGAAGCACCGGCUAACUACGUGCCAGCAGCCGCGGUAAUAC
rnacentral:rRNA from 1 species